UGUUUGGUCGUGCAACUUGGCUUUUGCCAGCGCUUCGCUCCUCUUCAGCUCCGCCGUUGUAUUCAAACAUGGUCACCUCCGUCUCCAGCUCCUCCUCCAGCAUUAUAUUGAACAUCUCCUGCACAAAGUUGUUCUCAUGUAGCGCUCCUCCUCAGCUCCACCCUCUCCUCAAGUCACCUGUGGCUCCAGCGUCUCUUUGAUUCAUUCCCUCAG